rnacentral:rRNA from 1 species
GAUGAACGCUGGCGGCGUGCCUAAUACAUGCAAGUCGAGCGAACAGACGAGGAGCUUGCUCCUCUGACGUUAGCGGCGGACGGGUGAGUAACACGUGGAUAACCUACCUAUAAGACUGGGAUAACUUCGGGAAACCGGAGCUAAUACCGGAUAAUAUAUUGAACCGCAUGGUUCAAUAGUGAAAGACGGUUUUGCUGUCACUUAUAGAUGGAUCUGCGCCGCAUUAGCUAGUUGGUAAGGUAACGGCUUACCAAGGCAACGAUGCGUAGCCGACCUGAGAGGGUGAUCGGCCACACUGGAACUGAGACAGGGUCCAGACUCCUACGGGAGGCAGCAGUAGGGAAUCUUCCGCAAUGGGCGAAAGCCUGACGGAGCAACGCCGCGUGAGUGAUGAAGGUCUUCGGAUCGUAAAACUCUGUUAUUAGGGAAGAACAAAUGUGUAAGUAACUAUGCACGUCUUGACGGUACCUAAUCAGAAAGCCACGGCUAACUACGUG